CCACCCUUCCCCACCAUGGUGGCCUUGCUAUACAUGUGGUUCGGCAUCUCCCUGCCGCUGGUCUGCUUGGGCUAUUACUUCGGCUUCCGCAAGCAGCCGUAUGACAACCCAGUGCGCACCAACCAGAUUCCCCGGCAGAUCCCCGAACAGCGGUGGUACAUGAACCGAUUUGUGGGCAUCCUCCUGGCCGGGAUCCUGCCCUUUGGUGCCAUGUUCAUCGAACUCUUCUUCGUCUUCAGUACCAUCUGGGAGAAUCAGUUCUACCUUUUUGGCUUCCUGUUCCUUGUUUUCAUCUUCUUGUGGUGUCCUGCUCACAGAUCAGCAUUGUCAUGCUGUACUUCCAGCUGUGUGCAGAGGACUACCGCUGGUGGUGGAGGAAUUCCUGGUCUCCGGGGGAUCUGCAUUCUACAUUCUGGUCUACGCCAUCUUCUACUUCGUCAACAAGCUGGACAUCGUUGAGUUCAUCCCCUCUCUCCUGUACUUUGGCUACACGGCCCUCAUGGUUCCCUGCUGGCUGCUCACGGGCACCAUUGGCUUCUAUGCGACCUACAUGUUUGUCCGCAAGAUAUAUGCCGCUGUGAAGAUUGACUGAUUGGGGUGGACCAUGGCCAGGCCCACUCCGUCCUCGGACAGGAAGCCACCCUGCGUGGGAAACUGCAGGCACGCGAAAUAAAGUAACUCCUGCUCGU